UUUCUUUGAAAUGACAUAUGUUUUGGAUAAUUUACAAACUUUUAUUCCUUUUCAGUUACUCAGGAUGGACCUACUACUACCAGAAUAAUAAAGAAAUGUGCAGACUCCUCGCUGUGUCCAGUUGCAGACACACAGACAUACUCCUUAAACACUGGAUCUGGUCAAGUGUUUGCACAAGCCACCUGUUGUAACAAAACAAACUGCAACAAAAAUACCCCACCACCGCCGACCGCCCCUGGACCUGGCUCCCUGCGAUGUCUGACCUGUGAUCCUCUGACAGGCCCAUGCAAUACUUCUAUACAAUGUAACACACUGGAGACCAACUGCUUCAUAACAACAGCAACAACACCUUCAUCGAUCCCAGUCCACGGCUGUGCCUCACCAAACACGUGCUCCAACUCUGUUCUGAACACACUUCUACCUGAACUGUCCCCUUAUGAAACUGUGACUGGACCAAGCUCCUGCUGCACAACUGAUGAUUGUAACAAAUUAACAACUACAAUUACAACUGCACCAACUACAACUACUACUACACCAACUACAACUACUA